rnacentral:rRNA from 1 species
UACGUAGGGUGCGAGCGUUGUCCGGAAUUAUUGGGCGUAAAGGGCGCGUAGGCGGCCUGGCAAGUCGAUGGUGAAAGCCCGUGGCUCAACUACGGGUCGGCCAUUGAUACUGCUAGGCUCGAGUCGACUAGAGGCAGAUGGAAUUCCGGGUGUAGCGGUGGAAUGCGUAGAGAUCCGGAAGAACACCGGUGGCGAAGGCGGUCUGCUGGGGUCGAACUGACGCUGAGGCGCGACAGCGUGGGGAGCAAACAGG